CCCUUGUCUCCUUUUGCAGCCAAAGUUCUGAGUUAGAGAUGAACACUCUGCUAGAAACCCACCCGAAGAAAUCACAGGAAAAGGACUCUUUAGAACUUUUAAGAAACUGAUGAGCAUCAUGGCUUUUCAGAAAUGGGAUUCAGUGCAUGGCAUUUCCCAGCUGGCACUUGGAAGUGGCAUGAUAUAGCUUCAAGCAUGCAGGUGGUGACAGUCCCAGGGAUGAUGAAGUUACAGGAAGGAGGGAAGUAGGCUGAAGGACCUUGUGGAACAGUGCUACCCCUGCCUGGGCUGCUGGUGUAGGGAAGAACAAAGAAGAUAAGUGGAAAAAAGGGAAGGAACAGGGGAGGGGAGGUGAAGAAGAAGAAGAAGAAGAAGAAAGAAGAAGAAGAAGAAGAAGAAGAAGAAAUAAUAAUAGAGGAAGCAGUCACCAGAAGAUUCCUGCUAUUAUGGAAGCUGAUUUCCUGUGAUGAAAAAAAUGUCAUUUCGGCGGAGCUCUGAGAACUUUUGGAAUGUGUGCACCAGGUCUGAAAAUGCAGAGUGGACUAUGACACAGAAAGAAAGACAUGUGUACAUGUUUUUGCAGGAGCAAGGAGUGGAUGAAAUUAGUUUCCUCUAGCAAUACCUCAUGAUUGAAAUAUCCAAAGAUCCCAAGGAAAAUUUAAAAAAUCAGAACAGUUGAAGAAAUAGAUGAUGGGAAGAAACUAUUUCUUUCCCCAGCUCCCCUGUCCCUCAGGCAGGGCUUUUGCACCAGCUCCCAGAGUUUCCCUAUUGGAAGAUGAUUUAAUAACACUCCUCCCUGUGUCAAUGUAUUUCAAUGUAUUCUCUCACCACCUAAACUAAUUGCUUGCACUUGAACCUUUGUCCCAGCACCAGCUGCCAGAGAGACUCAGAGUAAAACACGUGUAUUCUGGGCACUGAAAUGUUGGUAUGAACCAGCAUGUAAAGGCCAUGCUGUCCAGGGUCUCUUGUCUGACAACACCUGACAUAGUUCCACAUCAUCUUCACAAAUAACUGAGUUACCUGACCUUGCUGAGCAUAAGCUGAUCUAGAUACUAGAAUUUAGCUUGAGCAUAAACACAUGGACAAGAAUAUGAUUCUGUGAAGCAGGGAGGUCAAAAUGAGAAUUUCUUUUCACUAAGGAGUUGGUGAGAAGAGCCAUGAGGCCGAGUGAGCCACCUUUGCACCUGCCACGAGAAUGUGUGGAUUACUAUGCCUCUUGUUUUAUGCUGUGCAGCCUUCCUCUUCGGAGUGUCUCACAUGUUCUUACCCUGCUCUGGGGUUUUUCAUUCCUUGUUUCAGGAUCUGCAACAACUCUCAUCACUCCUGGUGGCAGUUGUUGAUGUUACCAGCUGCAGGUACCCACAGCCCACUUGAUGGGCAACCCACUCACCACCCCUCCCAAAGCCAUCUCUAGGAAGGUGAGGUUCUUGCUGAGGGCACUGAAGACUCAACCAUUGCUCAAAACCAAGUGAAAGAUGGGAUGAAGCAGCCAGGAGAAAACCUACCCCUGAGAGGCAGAGACUAAUUUCCCAAUUGCUGAUGCCAGCCAGUCAUCCUUGCAAUGAGUGCCACAGAGAAGGUACCAUAGGCAUUGACCAGAGAUGAAAAGCAACUGCAUCUUUUCAGGAAAAAAAAAAUGUGGUUAUUUCAGGGAUAGCAAAUCAAUCAGCAGUUGUUGCCAUUUUUGAAUAUCCACUUUGUGCCAGGAACCAUACUAGGUAUUUUCUUAUGUUGUCUCUGACCCAUGUGUCUCCCAACACCAACACUGAAAGAAGAGUCUCGCCUCCCUCCUACCCUCCCUCCCCUCCUCCUCUCUCUCUCUCUCCUUCCUUCCUCCUUCCUAUUCUCCUCCUCCUUUCCUCCCCCUCCUCCUCCUUCUUCUCCAGCCAGUCAGCUUGCAUGCCUUCCUUCCUUUUUUUCUUUCCUUCCUUUCUUCCUUCCUCCCUCCCUUCCUUCCUUUACAGCAGAGAUCACCAAGCUGCUGAGAAGUUAGGUUAUUUGAUCAAGGUCACAGCUACACUACAACAAAACUGUGAUUUGAGCCCAGAUUUGUCUGAUUCCAAAAUCCAUUCUCUCUUGUACUCCUUGAAAGUUAUAAAGUUUUGUAGCUUUUAAAAAUAUAUAUAUAUAUAUAUGCCUGGAAAAUGCUUUUAAGAAGAUGGCCAUCUCAGCAGAGGCUUUUCUAAACUAGAAAGAGAGGAAUUCUCAAAGGAUUGUUUAUGA